AGAGGAAUAGCUGGGUCAAAUGGUGGUUCCAUUCCCAGAUUUCCAAGGAAUCUCCAUACUACUCUCCAUAUUGGCUGCACCAAUUUGCAGUCCCAUCAGCAAU
rnacentral:pre_miRNA from 1 species